rnacentral:lncRNA from 1 species
CAUACUUAAGCCUGUCCAUGUCUCACUGACUUACUCUCUCAGUCAAUAUAGUGUUGGUUGGCUUAACCAUGGAACCUAUUCUGUUUGCUACAUCUAACUUUCUUUUCUCCCUAACAAGAAAGCCAGGAAGCCGGGGGCAUCAAGUAUCUGGUACAUUCAGUGACUUUCUUUUCUUUCCUUUUUUUUCGAUUUAGUAUUUUCUUAUGAAAGUAAUACAUGCUCAUCAUCAGUAAGUGGUUCAGAAUUGGGAGAACUCCCCAAUCCCAUCUCCUGCUAACAGUGUGCAAGGAAUACUUAUGUCAUGCAAUAGGGACAGAGGGUCACUCCUGCCGAUACCUUCUUUUGCAUCAUCUCACAUCUACCUGCCUCCUGGUUGGAUAAUCCUGAGCUAAUUACCUCACCCGUCUAAACUGCAGCUGUCAUGUAAGCAGGUAUUUUGGGGUUCACUCUCCUCAGCUCUUUCUUGUGGUCCAGCCAGAAUCAUGCCAGGUGUGGAACCUGGAAGUCCAGAAAGCAAAGUUUCUCACUGCUCUGAUACAGGUCCUCCUCCUUCAAAGGUGUGAUCUUCAGACCUAAGGGAGCACCUUGGUGUCCAUCUCCUCUUGCCUAGGCCUGCUCUUAGGAUAUUGGUUGUAUUGGUCCUAACCCUUCAUUUUACUGGGUGCACUUCUGAGAGUAGGCGAAGAGCUAACCAAACUAUAAAUCCCCGAUUGGGUGUUUCUUUUAAGAAUGAACAACUUAGGAACCCUUCUACCUUGUUUCUGGGGCCAAGGCUACUCUUCUCACAGGAGUAUUCCAGAGUUAUGUUUAAUUCUUAUAAAAUUAUGCUUCAGAAGCCAUAAUAAUGGGUGCCCACAGAUGAGGAUUUCUUAAGAUAAAGAUCCUGGGCUCUACCCCUUGAGACUGAAUCAGUAGAUCUGGGGUAAGGCCCAGAAUUUAUACUUUAAAAAAGCAACACACCAACUUCCAGUUUCCAGUCUGCAUGUGAGAAGCUUGGAAGUUGUCACUCUGCCCUAACAACAAGGAAAAAGCUCAACAGGCCAGGUGCAGUGGCUCUCAUCUGUAAUCCCAGCACUUUGGGAGGUUGAGGCGGUUAGCAUUUCUUGAGCCCAGGAGCUCAAGACAAGCCUGGGAAACAUGGUGAAACCCCAUUUCUACAAAAAAUUUAAAAAUUACCCUGGUGUGGUGGCGCACACCUGUAGUUGCAGCAACUUGGGAGGCUGAGGUGGAAGGAUCGCUUGAGCUCAGGAAUUCGAAGUUAUAGCGGUCCAUGAUAGCACCACUGCACUCGAGGCUGGGUGAGAGGGUAAGACCCUGAAACAAGCCUUUUUAGAUCUCUAAGAGAGGUUAGAGUACAGGGCCCUCUACAGCAGCUGGUGCCAUGUAGGAAGACGUUAACUGUAAUUGAUGAAUUGCUGGAGGCUGAGUGUGGAAAAGUCAAAAACUCUAGGGGAACACAGUCAUUAAGAGACCUCCCACAUUUCUGUGUUUUACCUUUUUUAGAAGCUCUACCACACCCCACAGUGAAUACUGGAGAAAAAUCCCCUCAUGCUUCUGCUAGGGGAAGGGGAAAAGAAACAUUUAAAAAUAUACCAGAACACUAUGUUCUUCUGAAUGUGGUCUGCCCUUAGGAGGAACUACUUCACCAGAGCCUAACCUUCAGGGGUUUUACCAACACCUAACUGAUCUGGAAGAAGGGAGACACUCAACUCUAAGUAAACUAGGAAUCAAGGGAAAUUUCCUCAACUCGAUUAAGAAUAUCUGUAAAAACAAACAAACAAAAACAAAAAACCAAACACCUUGUCGAUAAUGUCAUACUUAAUGAUGAGAAACUUGAAUUCUUCCCAUAAGAUCAGGAGCAAGGCAGUGUUUACUCUCUCCACUGCUUCUGAACAGCAGAUGAAAAAUUCUAGAUAAUACAGCAAGGAAAAGAAAUUAAAGAUACAGAUUGGGAGGGAAAUAAUAAAACUGUCUUUGUUUGCAAAUGACAUGAUUGUCUAUGAAGAACAUCUGAAAAAAAUUGGCAGAAAAGUCUCCUGGAACCAAUAAGUAAUUAUGGGAAUGUUGAGGAAUACUAGGUUAAUAUACAAAAG